GACAGAGGGUGCAAACGUUGUUCGGAAUUACUGGGCGUAAAGCGCGUGUAGGCGGCCCUGUAAGUCGGGUGUGAAAUCCCACGGCUCAACCGUGGAAGUGCAUUCGAAACUACAGGGCUAGAGUUCUGGAGAGGAAGGUGGAAUGCUUGGUGUAGAGGUGAAAUUCGUAGAUAUCAGGAGGAACACCAAUGGCGAAGGCAGCUCGCUGGGACGGUACUGACACUGAGACGCGAAAGCGUGGGGAGCAAACAGG
rnacentral:rRNA from 1 species